rnacentral:rRNA from 1 species
UGGCUCAGAUUGAACGCUGGCGGCAGGCCUAACACAUGCAAGUCGAGCGGUAGAGAGAAGCUUGCUUCUCUUGAGAGCGGCGGACGGGUGAGUAAUGCCUAGGAAUCUGCCUGGUAGUGGGGGAUAACGCUCGGAAACGGACGCUAAUACCGCAUACGUCCUACGGGAGAAAGCAGGGGACCUUCGGGCCUUGCGCUAUCAGAUGAGCCUAGGUCGGAUUAGCUAGUUGGUGAGGUAAUGGCUCACCAAGGCGACGAUCCGUAACUGGUCUGAGAGGAUGAUCAGUCACACUGGAACUGAGACACGGUCCAGACUCCUACGGGAGGCAGCAGUGGGGAAUAUUGGACAAUGGGCGAAAGCCUGAUCCAGCCAUGCCGCGUGUGUGAAGAAGGUCUUCGGAUUGUAAAGCACUUUAAGUUGGGAGGAAGGGCAUUAACCUAAUA